rnacentral:rRNA from 1 species
UCCUACGGGGGGCAGCAGUGGGGGAUAUUGCACAAUGGGGGAAACCCUGAUGCAGCGACGCCGCGUGGGUGAAGAAGCGCCUCGGCGCGUAAAGCCCUGUCAGCAGGGAAGAAAAUGACGGUACCUGAAGAAGAAGCCCCGGCUAACUACGUGCCAGCAGCCGCGGUAAUACGUAGGGGGCAAGCGUUAUCCGGAUUCAUUGGGCGUAAAGCGCGCGUAGGCGGCCGCCUAAGCGGGACCUCUAACCCCGGGGCUCAACCCCGGGCCGGGUCCCGGACUGGGCGGCUCGA